rnacentral:rRNA from 1 species
GAUGAACGCUGGCGGCGUGCCUAAUACAUGCAGUAGCACGCUGAAGGAGGAGCUUGCUCUUCUGGAUGAGUUGCGAACGGGUGAGUAACGCGUAGGUAACCUGCCUGGUAGCGGGGGAUAACUAUUGGAAACGAUAGCUAAUACCGCAUGACAACAGUUAUUGCAUGAUAACUGUUUAAAAGGGGCAACUGCUCCACUACCAGAUGGACCUGCGUUGUAUUAGCUAGUUGGUGAGGUAACGGCUCACCAAGGCGACGAUACAUAGCCGACCUGAGAGGGUGAUCGGCCACACUGGGACUGAGACACGGCCCAGACUCCUACGGGAGGCAGCAGUAGGGAAUCUUCGGCAAUGGACGGAAGUCUGACCGAGCAACGCCGCGUGAGUGAAGAAGGUUUUCGGAUCGUAAAGCUCUGUUGUAAGAGAAGAACGAGUGUGAGAGUGGAAAGUUCACACUGUGACGGUAUCUUACCAGAAAGGGACGGCUAACUACGUG